UGGGGAAUCUUGCACAAUGGGGGCAACCCUGAUGCAGCGACGCCGCGUGAGCGAUGAAGCCCUUCGGGGCGUAAAGCUCUUUCGCCCGCGACGGUGAUGACGGUAGCGGGAGAAGAAGCCCCGGCUAUCUCCGUGCCAGCAGCCGCGGUAAUACGGAGGGGGCUAGCGUUGUCCGGAAUUACUGGGCGUAAAGCGCGCGUAGGCGGUCCACCAAGUCGGGGGUGAAAGCCCGGGGCUCAACCCCGGAAUGUCCUCCGAGACUGUUGGACCGGAGUUCGGGAGAGGAGAGCGGAAUUCCCAGUGUAGAGGUGAAAUUCGUAGAUAUUGGGAAGAACACCGGUGGCGAAGGCGGCUCUCUGGCCCGCAACUGACGCUGAGGCGCGAAAGCGUGGGGAGCAAACA
rnacentral:rRNA from 1 species